rnacentral:tRNA from 1 species
AUUUAUAUAGUUUAUGAAAAACAUUACACUUUCACUGUAAAGACAAAGAAAACUUUUAUAAAUA